rnacentral:pre_miRNA from 1 species
UAACCUCCGCAGGCUGGCAGGUCCCCAGGCUGGGCUGGGCGAGUACCUCUUCGAAAGGCUCACCCUCAAGCAUGACUAGGAGG